rnacentral:rRNA from 1 species
AGCUCCAAUAGCGUAUAUUUAAGUUGCUGCAGUUAAAAAGCUCGUAGUCGGUUUUCGGGAGGGGUGGCACGGUCCGCCUUGUGUGUGCACUGCGCCGCCCCUCUUUACCGCUGGUGACCAGCUCCUGGACUUUACUGUCUGGGACUGGGAGUCAGCACUGUUACCUUGAGUAAAUUGGAGUGUUCAAAGCAAGCAAACGCUGUGCACACUUUAGCAUGGAAUAACGAUCAUUGGACUCGCGUCCAGUCGUUGGUCUAUGGUCAGCGAGUAACGACCAAUGGGGGCAGUCGGGGGCAUUUGUAUUGCGGUGUCAGAGGUGAAAUUCUUGGAUUUCCGCAAGACAAACAGCUGCGAAAGCGUUUGCCAAGGAUGCUUUCG